GCGCUCCAGGCUCCCGAAGGGAAAGCGGGCGCGGGGCUCCCCGGGGCUGAGCGCGCUCCUCGGGGCGGGGGGGGCGGCUCCCCAGGGGCUGAGCGCGCUCCUCGGGGCAGGGGGGGCUCCCCCGGGGCUGAGCGCGCUCCUCGGGGCGGGGGGCUCCCCCGGGGCUGAGCGCGCUCCUCGGGGCGGGAGGGCUCCCCAGGGGGCCGACGGGUCCUCCGCGUCCCGGGCGCUCGGCGGCGGCCCCCUCCACACCCCGCGGGCCCCCGGACCCCGCCGGGCUGCUGCACCCCCUCCCCUUCGGGGGCGCCUCUGGCGCGGAGCGGGGAACCGGAGGCCCGCAGAAGUGGAAGCCCCGGAGAGACUUUAAGCAGCGGGACCCCGGGACUCCUCCGCAAGAGAGACACAAAGCUUCGGGGCUGGAGGAGCUGAGCUGAGGAUCAGCACGUUGGAGGGGACCGGGAACUCCGCACACAAAGGACGCUCCACUUGGCUGGCAGCCACGGUGUCACGAGUGGAGAAGGGGCAGGAUGGGGGGUGAUGAAAGAGGAACAGUGUCACCUCCAGAAUGCUUCCAUCCCUCCGGGACAUCUAUCUUCUCCAAGCCCCAACCAUGAAAGAAACUUCCAAAUUAGCAGCUUGUUCUCCAGGAAGAAUGAACGUGUGGAAGCUGGCAUUUGAUUUCUUCCUGCUGGCUACUGACCUUAGAGAGACAGCAUGGACAGUGUGGAUACUCACUCUAACAUCAGGCAUGCUAUCAGAAAAGAGACAGAUAUGGAGGUUCUUGUACCAACAAGACUGUAUACUAUAUACUAGACAUUCUGGUGACCUAGCAGCAACAAAAACAACAAUGACAACAACUCUUGUCAGAGACCAAACUGCCAGAAACUAA
rnacentral:lncRNA from 12 species